rnacentral:rRNA from 1 species
AGCGAACGCUGGCGGCAGGCCUAACACAUGCAAGUCGAACGAAGUCUUCGGACUUAGUGGCGGACGGGUGAGUAACACGUGGGAACGUGCCUUUAGGUUCGGAAUAACUCAGGGAAACUUGUGCUAAUACCGAAUGUGCCCUUCGGGGGAAAGAUUUAUCGCCUUUAGAGCGGCCCGCGUCUGAUUAGCUAGUUGGUGGGGUAAUGGCCCACCAAGGCUACGAUCAGUAGCUGGUCUGAAAGGAUGACCAGCCACAUUGGGACUGAGACACGGCCCAAACUCCUACGGGAGGCAGUAGUGGGGAAUCUUGCGCAAUGGGCGAAAGCCUGACGCAGCCAUGCCGCGUGGAUGAUGAAGGUCUUAGGAUUGUAAAAUCCUUUCACCGGUGAAGACAAUGACUGUAGCCGGAGAAGAAGCCCCGGCUAACUUCGUGCCAGCAGCCGCCGUAACAC